CAGGAUAUAGCUCAAUUUGGUAAAGCGCGGAGUUUGGGGCUCCGAGAGUAUAGGUUCAAAUCCUAUUAUCCUGA
rnacentral:tRNA from 1 species